rnacentral:rRNA from 1 species
AAUAUGCUAGUCCUUUCAUGAUUAUGUGAUAGGUGGUGCAUGGCCGUUCUUAGUUCGUGGAGUGAUCUGUCUGCUUAAUUGCGUUUCACUAAAGGCGUCAUUAAUUUUUUGUGCCUGUGUUUGACCCCGCACUUCGGUGCGCGCGCGUCUUUCACACACAAUUACUUUGACGUCUGAAAGCAACGAACGUGACCGUAACCUCUUGUUGCCUUCUCUUCUCUUCGGAGAAUGCUGCUUUAUACCUUCACGGGUGUAUCGCAGUAUACGGAGGCUUAAUACUCAGUAACUAGAGGGACCGCUGUUACUUUCUUUAAACCAGAGGAAGGUUGCGGCAAUAACAGGUCUGUGAUGCCCUUAGAUGUUCCGGGCUGCACACGUGAUACAUUGAUUACUUCAGUGAGUAUCUACGUAUUACUGCGCAGCAGUAUACGCGUGUUGUUUAUUGCUUCGGCAAUUUACUUUGCGCUAUACGCCGCCUUAACCUACUUCGAAAGUAUGUGGGUAACCAAUUAGAAGUAGUGAUUUCCCUCUUUAUAAGCACACUUAUAUGGAGCAUCAUCACCCGGCAUGCCUUGUGCAUGUUUUGUGUGUGUUGUUUGUCUACAUGUGCUUU